UUCCUACGGGGGGCAGCAGUGAGGAAUAUUGGUCAAUGGGCGGGAGCCUGAACCAGCCAAGCCGCGUGAAGGAAGAAGGCGCCAAGCGUCGUAAACUUCUUUUGUCGGGGAACAAAGGGCGCCACGUGUGGCGUUGUGAGUGUACCCGAAGAAAAAGCACCGGCUAACUCCGUGCCAGCAGCCGCGGUAAUACGGAGGGUGCGAGCGUUAAUCGGAAUUACUGGGCGUAAAGCGCUCGUAGGCGGUAUGUCAAGUCAAGGGUGAAAUCCCCGCGCUCAACGUGGGAACUGCCUUUGAAACUGGCA
rnacentral:rRNA from 1 species